GCCAGGCGCAGUGGCGCAUGCCUGUAGUUCCAGCUACUCAGGAGGCUGAGGUGGGAGGAUCGCUUGAGUCCAGGAGUUCUCGCCUGUAGCAUGCUCUGCUGAUCGGUGUCCACACUAAGUUUGGCAUCAAUAUGGUGACCUCCCGGGAGCGGGGGACCACCAGGUUGCCUAAGGAGGGGUGAACCAGCCCAGGUUGGAAACAGAGCAGGUCAAAACUCCCGUGCUGAUCAGUAGUGGGAUUGCGCUUGUGAAUAGCCACUGCACUCCAGCCUGGGCAACACAGUGAGACCCCAUCUCUU
ensembl:misc_RNA Metazoa_SRP Metazoan signal recognition particle RNA